GUUUUUAUACUUUAAAUUUUAAAAGAAGAUCUAUUUUGCAUAUAGAAAGUAACUUUUGUUU
rnacentral:tRNA from 1 species